UACGUAGGUGGCAAGCGUUAUCCGGAUUUACUGGGUGUAAAGGGAGCGUAGACGGCAAUACAAGUCGGAAGUGAAAUACCCGGGCUCAACCUGGGAACUGCUUUGGAAACUGUAUGGCUGGAGUGCUGGAGAGGUAAGCGGAAUUCCUAGUGUAGCGGUGAAAUGCGUAGAUAUUAGGAGGAACACCAGUGGCGAAGGCGGCUUACUGGACAGUAACUGACGUUGAGGCUCGAAAGCGUGGGGAGCAAACAGG
rnacentral:rRNA from 1 species